UAAUACGAAGGGGGCUAGCGUUGUUCGGAAUCACUGGGCGUAAAGCGCACGUAGGCGGAUUAUUAAGUCGGGGGUGAAAUCCCGAGGCUCAACCUCGGAACUGCCUUCGAUACUGGUAAUCUUCGAGUCCGGGAGAGGUGAGUGGAACUCCGAGUGUAGAGGUGAAAUUCGUAGAUAUUCGGAAGAACACCAGUGGCGAAGGCGGCUCACUGGCCCGGUACUGACGCUGAGGUGCGAAAGCGUGGGGAGCAAACAGG
rnacentral:rRNA from 1 species